GUACCAUUGUUGAGAGGCAGCCUGGGACUACCACUCCCUGCUAUAGGUGCCACCAAUAGAAGCUGGGUUAUGAGCGCUUAGAGGAGGUAGCUUAAAGAAAGACAAUGAUAUUGAAGCUACCCUCAUUCUCUGUGCCUGUGCAUACAUGGACACAUGUGCACAUGCACACAUGUACCUGUGUGAAUAAGAAGCAAGUAGAAAGUAGGGGUGAAAGAAAAUAGAAAUCACAUUAGUGUACAUGUGGAAUCCAAAAGGGUCAGUACGAACCAAAGCCCAGUUGUAUCAUCCAUCAACCAACUGAUUUUCAAGGGUCAAGUGUUGUUUGGGGCACUCAGGAAACAUGAAGAAAAGGCUCGGGCAAGAGGCCCUGAUUUCAGUGGGAAACUUACCGCUGAGGGUGAAUGCCACGAGACGCAAACGAAAGGAACCAGAGUGUGCCGCUCACUUUUUUUUUUCCUCACUGCAAUGGAAUCUCUAACAGAAGGAAUUUGAGGGAGACUUCAGCUUUUACAGUUCAUCGAGGUGGGGAAGACAUGGCUGGUGAAGCUUCCAAGAUUAACUACAUCCAUGGUGUCUUCAGAGAUGACUCAACAGUUCAAAGCACACACUGCUCUUCCGGAGGACCUGAGUUUGGUUAUCAGCAUCCACAUAGAAGCUCACCACCAUUUGUACCUCCAGUUACAGGGGCACCUUGGGUACUGCACACACAAGGCACACAUGCAGGCAAAACUCAUACACAUUAAAUAAAAAUAAAUACAUCUUUGAAAAAUAAAAGUUACCACAUUA